rnacentral:rRNA from 1 species
ACGCUGGCGGCAGGCCUAACACAUGCAAGUCGAGCGGUAGCACGGGAGAGCUUGCUCUCUGGGUGACGAGCGGCGGACGGGUGAGUAAUGUCUGGGAAGCUGCCUGAUGGAGGGGGAUAACUACUGGAAACGGUAGCUAAUACCGCAUGACCUCGCAAGAGCAAAGUGGGGGACCUUCGGGCCUCACGCCAUCGGAUGUGCCCAGAUGGGAUUAGCUAGUAGGUGAGGUAAUGGCUCACCUAGGCGACGAUCCCUAGCUGGUCUGAGAGGAUGACCAGCCACACUGGAACUGAGACACGGUCCAGACUCCUACGGGAGGCAGCAGUGGGGAAUAUUGCACAAUGGGCGCAAGCCUGAUGCAGCCAUGCCGCGUGUGUGAAGAAGGCCUUAGGGUUGUAAAGCACUUUCAGCGAGGAGGAAGGCGUUGUAGUUAAUAGUUGCAGCGAUUGACGUUACUCGCAGAAGAAGCACCGGCUAACUCCGUGCCAGCAGCCGCGGUAAUACGGAGGGUGCAAGCGUUAAUCGGAAUUACUGGGCGUAAAGCGCACGCAGGCGGUUUGUUAAGUCAGAUGUGAAAUCCCCGAGCUUAACUUGGGAACUGCAUUUGAAACUGGCAAGCUAGAGUCUUGUAGAGGGGGGUAGAAUUCCAGGUGUAGCGGUGAAAUGCGUAGAGAUAGGGAGGAAUACCGGUGGCGAAGGCGGCCCCCUGGACAAAGACUGACGCUCAGGUGCGAAAGCGUGGGGAGCAAAC